rnacentral:rRNA from 1 species
UUUAGCAUGGAAUAAUAGAAUAGGACGUGUGGUUCUAUUUUGUUGGUUUCUAGGACCGCCGUAAUGAUUAAUAGGGAUAGUCGGGGGCAUCAGUAUUCAAUUGUCAGAGGUGAAAUUCUUGGAUUUAUUGAAGACUAACUACUGCGAAAGCAUUUGCCAAGGAUGUUUUCAUUAAUCAGUGAACGAAAGUUAGGGGAUCGAAGACGAUCAGAUACCGUCGUAGUCUUAACCAUAAACUAUGCCGACUAGGGAUCGGGCGAUGUUAUCUUUUUGACUCGCUCGGCACCUUACGAGAAAUCAAAGCUUUUGGGUUCUGGGGGGAGUAUGGUCGCAGGGCUGAAACUUAAAGAAAUUGACGGAAGGGCACCACCAGGAGUGGAGCCUGCGGCUUAAUUUGACUCAACACGGGGAAACUCACCAGGUCCAGACACAAUAAGGAUUGACAGAUUGAGAGCUCUUUCUUGAUUUUGUGGGUGGUGGUGCAUGGCCGUUCUUAGUUGGUGGAGUGAUUUGUCUGCUUAAUUGCGAUAACGAACGAGACCUUAACCUGCUAAAUAGCCCGGCUAGCUUUGGCUGGUCGCUGGCUUCUUAGAGGGACUAUCGGCUCAAGCCGAUGGAAGUUUGAGGCAAUAACAGGUCUGUGAUGCCCUUAGAUGUUCUGGGCCGCACGCGCGCUACACUGACAGAGCCAACGAGUUCAUCACCUUGGCCGAAAGGUCUGGGUAAUCUUGUUAAACUCUGUCGUGCUGGGGAUAGGGCAUUGCAAUA